rnacentral:rRNA from 1 species
AUGGCGGCGGUGAUGGAGUCGUCGUCGGUGCCCGGCGUGGACGGCGGCGAGGGUGCGGAGGGGAGGGUGCGGAAGCCCUACACCAUCACCAAGUCGCGGGAGAGCUGGACCGACCCGGAGCACGACAAGUUCAUCGAGGCGCUCCUCCUGUUCGAUCGCGAUUGGAGAAAGAUCGAAGCAUUUGUUGGCUCCAAGACAGUGAUACAGUUCUGUUGGCAGAUCAGGAGCCAUGCACAGAAGUACUUUCUGAAGGUUCAGAAGAAUGGGACAGGUGAGCAUCUGCCCCCACCUAGGCCGAAGAGGAAGGCGGCACACCCGUACCCACAUAAUAAAGCCUCAAAAAAGGCCCCUGAAGUCGACUUGCCACAGCAGCCUCCUCAUGUCGUGGAGCAAGGGCGUGUUAUACCUAUGGAUGCACCUACUGUCGCUACAAACUCAAGUGCAAACGAGGACACAUUUCCUUCCUGGGACGAUGUUCUUACCCAACCUUAUAGCCCAAGACAUACACAAGACUUAGGCGCUGCAAAUAAUAGCUCUAGUAGCAUAGAGUGCCAAUCUGGAACUUGGCCAGCUUCUGAUGCGAUUGGGCAAGAAAUUUGGCCAACUUCCGAUGCGAUUGAGCAAGAGAUUGUACUUCCAGCAUUGCAUGCCAUGCCAGACUUUGCUCAAGUAUACAACUUUCUUGGGGGCGUAUUUGAUCCAGAUACAACAGGACAUUUGCAGAAGUUGAGAGAGAUGGAUCCUAUAGAUGCUGAAACGGUACUACAACUGAUGAAAAAUCUAUCGGUAAACCUGUCUAGCCCGGACUUUGAGACACACAGGAGGAUGCUCUCGUCGCACGGUGGCGGCAUGGGCCAAGCCAGGCACGAGAGCGUAGGAGAUCCGGGGUCUCUACUCAGACCCUUCGCGUUCCAUUCAUGUAAUCUCUAG